CCUACGGGAGGCAGCAGUGAGGAAUAUUGGUCAAUGGACGAGAGUCUGAACCAGCCAAGUAGCGUGAAGGAUGACUACCCUAUGGGUUGUAAACUUCUUUUAUAUGGGAAUAAAAUGUUCCACGUGUGGGAUUUUGUAUGUACCAUAUGACUAAGGAUCGGCUAACUCCGUGCCAGCAGCCGCGGUAAUACGGAGGAUCCGAGCGUUAUCCGGAUUUAUUGGGUUUAAAGGGAGCGUAGGUGGAUUGUUAAGUCAGUUGUGAAAGUUUGCGGCUCAACCGUAAAAUUGCAGUUGAAACUGGCAGUCUUGAGUACAGUAGAGGUGGGCGGAAUUCGUGGUGUAGCGGUGAAAUGCUUAGAUAUCACGAAGAACUCCGAUUGCGAAGGCAGUUCACUGGACUGCAACUGACACUGAGGCUCGAAAGUGUGGGUAUCAAACAGGAUUAGAUACCCCAGUAGUC
rnacentral:rRNA from 1 species